rnacentral:lncRNA from 1 species
GGAAGUCUGUUUUGUUGACAGGGCCUUGCUUGCCAGAAACGAAUACCCAACAGCUUGAUGAGAAAUGGGUUAGUUGGUUGAGCCAGUUCGAGCCAGGGUCUGUUGUGUUUUGCUCAUUUGGAAGCCAGAGUGUGUUGCAGAAGGAUGAGUUCCAGGAGUUGGUGCUUGGGUUUGAGCUAUGUGGGCUACCAUUUUUGGUAGCUUUAAAGCCACCCCAAGGAUUCUCGACUGUUGAAGAAGCACUGCCGGAGGGGUUUCAAGAUAGGGUUGGAGGAAGAGGGUUGGUGUAUGGAGGUUGGGUUCCACAAGAGCAGCUAUUGCACCACCCUAACAUCGGGUGUUUCGUUAACCACUGUGGGUAUGGAACGAUGUGGGAGUUUUUGCUUAGUGACUGCCAAAUCGUGUUGAUUCCUGAAAUAGGGGAUCAAAUUUUGAACACCAGAUUAAUGGUGAAAGAACUCAAGAUUGGAGUUGAAGUGGAGAGAGGUAAAAACAGGGAGGUUUCAAAGGAGUCAUUGAGUGAAGCCAUCAAGUUUGUGAUGGACAAGGACAAUGAAACAGCUAAUAUGAUGAAGAGAAACCAUGCUAAGCUGAAGCAGAUACUAUCUAACAGGGAUCUUCAAGAAGGAUAUAUCAACAAUUUCAUCCAAGCUCUGCAAGAUCUUGUCAAAUAGAGUGGCAAAAUCCAAGCAAUUGGUUAGAAAAUGAAAGUGAAUCAUAGGUAUGAUUAUUGUUUUAUCACAUUCUUAUUUUCUAAUUGUCCAUGCUUUUAUUAAUUUCAAAUAAAGCAAUGUUUAUUAAAUUACAAUUUUAAUAUAUAAAUAAAAUUCAAAUAAACUUUAAUUGAAAGUUCCAAUGAAAUGAAAUUUUGAAAUUGAAAUAAAAUUCAAAUAAAAUAUCAAUUUAAAGCAAUAUUUAUUAAAUUACAAUUUAAAUAUAUGAAUAAAAAUUUAUAAUAAAUAUAAUUUAAAUAAAGAAAGCAAUAUUUAUUAAAUUACAAUUUAAAUAUAUAAAUAAAAAUUCAAAUAAAAUUUAUUUAAAAAUUACAUUGAAUUGAAAUGAAAUUCAAAUAAAAUAUCAAUUUAAAGCAAUAUUUAUUAAAUUAUAAUUUAAAUAUAUAAAUAAAAAUUUAAUUCAACAAUUACAUGACAAAUGAAGUUAUAAUUAAAAAAGAAAAAAAAGUGAAAUGAAAUUAAAAUUGAAAUCAAAUUCAAAUGAAAAAAAUUCGAAAUGCCAAAACAUGACAGGCCGCACUUGUGACAGCCUUGUCAAAACAGGCCACCCAAUGGCUGGCACCAACGGCCCAAUGUGCCAGAUCAGCCUGUCAAUGGUCAAAAAAUUAAAUUUUGUCAUGCCUAUGAGGCCUAAUAUGUGUCAAAUCGGCCACUCAAUGGCCGGCAUCAGUAGACUAGACCUGCUCUGACAUGCCCCGGGGCAGGGGCCAAAAUUUUAUUUUCUUUUUUUACCCUUUUUACCCCUACUCAACCACUAUGGUCCCUCACUUUAAAUGUCCCAAAAUUCAAGCACCAUCGUUCAUGGUUGAUCACUAUCGAUCACCGUCACUGAUCACAAUCGUUCAUGGUUGAUCACUGUCAUCGAUCAACAUCUAUUACUGCUGAUCAAGGUUGAUCACCGAUCACUGCUGUCGAUCACCACUGAUCACUCUAUGAGUCCUAAUCCUAAUUCUCUUUUAAAUGACGACAAAGGCAUUGCUAAAAAUAUGAAUAAGGUAAAUUUUAUACCAAAUGACCCAUUUACUUUGAAUAACUAUGAUAACUUGCUUUUUAAACAAGAAAUAUAACAUUUUAUAUUUAUUAUAAAUGCAGGAUCAAUACCGAAUUGUGAGACUCCGAUUGCAUGAUCCUGAAUAUUUUUAAAAAAUAUUUUUUAAAAAAUUAAUUAUUGGCAAACAAACGGACCCUAAGUGCCUCUACUUAUAUGAUUUUAGUCAUCACACACGGUUGAACAACACAACCAUAUCUCAUAAAAGAGCGACACUUGUUUCAAUAUAAGCUUGGUAUAUAUAUAUACACGUGUGUGUGAGAGAUAUAGAUGACCCUUAAUCUUGCUAUACUUUUUUAUUAUUAAUAAAUUAAAUUAUUUUUCGUAAUUUUAUUAAAUAAUUUAAGAUUAUAUUUGAUGUAUUAAUAAUAAUAAAAAUUUGAAUUUAAAUUAUUUAUCAUUUAAAUAUCCUGAAAGGGAGAGGAAUUGAUUGACACGAAAGCUUUUCUUGAAAUUUAUUUUAUGGCCGACAACUAUUGUCUGUAUUGAUAAACAUGUUAGAAAAUAAAUGGCGUAGGUAGUCUCAGUGUGGACUGUGGACUCUCAGGUCAGUUAUUUUCGUGUCAGAUAACCUUUGUUCAUCCAAACCAAAGCAAAAAAGAUGAGCAAAUCAGGCUGCUCAAAGCUUCACAUCGCCAUGUUUCCCUGGGUUGCAUAUGGUCAUUUCAUUCCCUACCUUCAUCUCUCAAAUAAGUUGGCUCAUAAAGGCCAUAAAAUUUCCUUCAUUUUGCCUGAAGGAGUGCAACCAAAGCUGGAAAACAUGAACCAAUACCCCAACUUGAUUCAAUUCGUUCCUCUAGUUAUACCCCAUGUCGAUGGCCUCCCUCCAGGUGCUGAAACUACAUCUGUUGUUCCUCUGAACCAACAAAAAUACCUUGCUUUUGCUGUAGAUCAAACCAGGGACCAAGUUGAAGGCAUCCUAGGGGAUUUAAAACCAGAUAUGGUUUUUUUAUGAUUUCUGGUUUUGGAUCCCAGACUUGGCUCGCCAACUUGGGAUCCACCCCAUAUGCUAUGUAGUGGUUUCCUCGAUGAUCAUGUCGAUUGGGCCAAGCACCAAGACUCUAACCAAAGAAAUGACUGUAGAAGAGGUGACGAAAUUGCCUCCUGAUUACCCUUCUUCCAUUGUGAAAUUCAAAGCUGAAGAGGCUGCUGUAUUGUUGUUUGGGGCUGAGGAUUUCGGGAGUGAACUGUCGUUUGGGGAACGGAUAAGGACUGCUGUGAGUGGAAGUGAUGCCAUUGCCUUCAGGACUUGCCGUCAAACCGAGGGACCAUUUUGCGACUAUGUUGCUCGAGGAUAUGGGAAGGCUGUUUUGUUAUCAGGGCCUUGCUUCCUUGAAACAAAGACCCAACAGCUUGAUGAGAAAUGGGUUAGUUGGUUAAGCCAGUUCGAGCCAGGUUCUGUUGUGUUUUGCUCAUUUGGAAGCCAGAGUGUGUUAUAGAAGGACGAGUUCCAGGAGUUGGUGCUUGGGUUUGAGCUAUGUGGGCUACCAUUUUUGGUAGCUUUAAAGCCACCCCAAGGAUUCUCGACUGUUGAAGAAGCUCUGCCGGAGGGGUUUCAAGAUAGGGUUGGAGGAAGAGGGUUGGUGUAUGGAGGUUGGGUUCCACAAGAGCAGCUACUGCACCACCCUAACAUUGGGUGUUUCGUUAACCACUGUGGGUAUGGAACGAUGUGGGAGUUUUUGCUUAGUGACUGCCAAAUCGUGUUGAUUCCUGAAAUUGGGGAUCAAAUUUUGAACACCAGAUUAAUGGUGGAAGAACUCAAGAUUGGAGUUGAAGUGGAGAGAGGUAAAAACAGGGAGGUUUCAAAGGAGUCAUUGAGUGAAGCCAUCAAGUUUGUGAUGGACAAGGACAAUGAAACAGCUAAUAUGAUGAAGAGAAACCAUGCUAAGCUGAAGCAAAUACUAUCUAACAGGGAUCUUCAAGAAGGAUAUAUCAACAAUUUCAUCCAAGCUCUGCAAGAUCUUGUCAAAUAGAGUGGCAAAAUCCAAGCAAUUGGUUAGAAAAUGAAAGUGAAUCAUAGGUAUGAUUAUUGUUUUAUCACAUUCUUAUUUUCUAAUUGUCCAUGCUUUUAUUAAUUUCAAAUAAAGCAAUGUUUAUUAAAUUACAAUUUUAAUAUAUAAAUAAAAAUUCAAAUAAACUUUAAUUGAAAGUUCCAAUGAAAUGAAAAUUUGAAAUUGAAAUAAAAUUCAAAUAAAAUAUCAAUUUAAAGCAAUAUUUAUUAAAUUACAAUUUAAAUAUAUGAAUAAAAAUUUAUAAUAAAUAUAAUUUAAAUAAAGAAAGCAAUAUUUAUUAAAUUACAAUUUAAAUAUAUAAAUAAAAAUUCAAAUAAAAUUUAUUUAAAAAUUACAUUGAAUUGAAAUGAAAUUCAAAUAAAAUAUCAAUUUAAAGCAAUAUUUAUUAAAUUAUAAUUUAAAUAUAUAAAUAAAAAUUCAAUUCAACAGUUACAUGACAAAUGAAGUUAUAAUUAAAAAAGAAAAAAAAAGUGAAAUCAAAUUCAAAUUGAAAUCAAAUUCAAAUGAAAAAAAAAAUUCAAAAUGACAAUACAUGACAGGCCGGCACUUGUUACAGCCUUGUCAAAACAGGCCACCCAAUGGCUGGCACCAGCGGCCCAAUGUGCUAGAUCAGCCUGUCAAUGGCCAAUUUCAAAAAAUUAAAUUUUGUCAGGCCUAUGAGGCCUAAUCUGUGUCAAAUCGGCCACUCAAUUGCUGGCAUCAGUAGACUAGACCUGCUCUAACAUGCCCCGGGGCAGGGGCCAAAAUUUUAUUUUCUUUUUCUUUUUUUCCCUUUUUACCCCUACUCAACCCCUAUGGUCCCCCACUUUAAAUGUCAUGCUUCAACCUAAAAUUCGAGCACCAUCGCAGAUAACUAUCGUUCACCAUCGAUCAUCACCGCUGAUCAUAGUCAUUCAUGGUUGAUCACUGUCUUCAAUCAACAUCUAUUACUCCUGAUCAAGGCUAAUCACCGAUCACCGCCGUCGAUCACUGUCGAUCACCACUGAUCACUCCAUGAGUCCUAAUCCUAAUUCUCUUUUAAAUGACGACAACCGCAUUGCUAAAAAUAUGAAUAAGGUAAAUUUUAUACCAAAUGACCCAUUUACUUUGAAUAACUAUGAUAACUUGUUUUUAAACGAGAAAUAUAACAUUUUAUAUUUAUUAUAAAUGCAGGAUCAGUACCGAAUUGUGAGACCCCGAUUGCAUGAUCCUGAAUAUUUUUUCGAUUUGAAGGUUUUGCCAUAUUUGAACGCCGCGAGUUUUAGGGUAGCCGUGUACAUUUAGAUAGCCGAUCUACAGGCCAAUUUAAUAUUGGCCUUAGUUGAAAUAUGACGCCCAAAGGCACACAUGUUUCACCUCCCAUGUGGGGAGGUCACCAUUACACUGCAAGAUGUAGCAGUCUAGCUGGGGAUGUCUAUUAACAACGAAGUAGUGACGGGGCUUAGAAAAUUGCUCGUUCCGUGGGGCACUUGCGAAUGGUUACUUAGAAGAAUGCCCCCAACGAUGAGGAAUGAAGAUUGACCAGUCUUAAAUUUACCUAUUAAGAACAAACUUCCAAAAUCUACCUAGCAGUCUAACGCAAAUGGACAUUAUCUACGCUGCAAGAGCGUUUAUUCUGCAACUUAUAGGUGGAUUACUGAUGUCGGACGUGAGUCAAAAUAAAGUCCACAUCAUGUACCUCCUCUUACUAGAUGACCUUGAGCAAGCAGAGAUAUUUAGUUGGGGCUCUGCAGUAUUGGCAUGCUUAUACAGCGAGCUUUGUCGAGCAACAAAACCGUCUACCAAAACCAUGGGUGUAACACCCUUAACCCGUAUCCGUCGUCAGAAUAGGGUUACAGAGCAUUACCAAAGUUUUCAAAUCUUACGAACACAUAUUUAAAAACAUUUCAUAUCAUAUCAUUAAACAUAUUAAAAAUAAACCAAAUCAUUCAUAUUGUCCCUUACACGAGCCCUCGAGGCCUUAAAUACAUAUUAGAAACAAGUUGGGACUAAAUCAGAAACUCAGAGAAUUUUUCAAAAAAAAUUAAAAAUUUUCAACACUGCAGGGGUCACACGGCCAAGAGACACGCCCAUGUCUUAGGCCGUAUGGGCAUUCGAAGUAUGGACACACGAUCAUGUCCCAGCCUGUGUCCAUACUCGUGUAACUCACUGACUUGGGUCACACGGCCAAGCCACCAGGCCGUGUACCUUUCGAAAUAACCCCACACGCCCGUAUGCCAAGCUGUGUGCUAGGCCGUGUAACAACUUGACUUGCAACCCUUUGAAAGCUACAAGGUACACACGGCCGUGUCACCUAACCGUGUGUCACACACGGCUGUGACACGCUCAUGUGUGGACGAAAAUAGGCCAUUUUACAAGCCAUUUUUGUAAUGACCCAAAAUUCAUGGUCAUCAAAAAAGUAUGAUAUCGGGCCUCCGUCUUAGUAAAUUGGGUCAUAAAUAAUUAUUAGAAGCAAUUAUGAGUUUAGUGGAGUGCUUAAUUAGGUAUUAAUUAGGUGAAUUUAGCCUAAUUUAAAGUAAUAAGGAAAAAAGAUCAAAUUGAAUAAAGAAUGAAAGCCUAAUUAUAGAUUAAAAGAAAGUAAAAAGGGCUAAAAUGGGAAUUAAACCAUUUAUAUGAAAUGAGGCGGCAUAUAUGCAUUAAAAUCUAAGAUUUUAUUUAAGUUAUACAUAAAUAUUAUAUAUAUUAUUAUAAUUAUUAACCAUUAUUAUGGUUUUAUAUUAUUAUUAUUAUUAUUAAAUAAAGUAAAUGGUAGACAAUUGUAUGGUAAUAAAAUAUACAUGUGUAAAAAUUAUAUUUGUACAUUUGUAAACUAAACACCCAAAUUACUUAUAAUUUAAGUAUGAAGAUAUUUUAUAAUUAUUAAUUGAAUUAAUUAUAUUAUAAGAUUUUUAUAUAAUAAAUAAAUUAAAGACAUGACAAGUGUAUGAUGAUGAUAAGGUACAAAUGUAAUAAUAUUUAUGUGUACAAUAGUAAUAAAUGUAAAUGAUAUUAAAAUAGAUAUUUACUAAUUAUUAUUAUUAAGUUAAAGAUAUUUAUUAAAUUAAAUAAUUAAACUAUGAGACUUUUAUUUGAUAAACAAAUUAAAUAAUGACAAUUGUAAUAAAAUCAUUGGUACAAAUGUAGAAAUAUAGGUGUGACCAAAUGUAAAAUAAGUAUUGUUAUUAAAAUAGAUAUUUAUUAUAAUCAUUAUAUUAUGUUAAUAAAAUAAAUAAAAUAUAAAAAGAAACAAAAACAAAGAAUAGAAACAGAAUUGAGACGAGAAGCAGGGGAGAAAAAGGGUAAGAAAAAUAAAAGAGAAAAUUAGGGAUUUGAAACUUGAAACUUUAAUUGGUAAGUUUAAUCAAGUCCUUUUCUUAUAAAUUUGAUGUUCUUGGAAUCCAAGAGACGAAAUACUCUUGGAUUUAAGUUGAAAUUUUGAAAGUUAAUAGAUUUUUUAGUAGGGUUUAUGUUGAAUAAAUGAUGAAAUUGAGGGUUUAUUUGAUAGAAAUUUUGAUUGGAAUUGAAUAAAGGAUUGAAUUGUAAACUAAGCCAUAAGUUUUGAGUUUUAGGGAUUAAAUUGAAAUAAAUUUGAAAUUGGGAAAAUAUGCUCAAAUUUUAAUAGUUAAAUUUUAGUUUGGAUGAAAUUUGAAUAAAAAUAGAGUGUGAGUUGAAUUAGGAAAGUAAGUGAAUUUAGUUAGGAUCAAAUUGAGAAUAAGGAAGAAAUUUAAUAGAAAUUCAAUUAUUUAUCAUAAUUAGUGUUGUAAUUAAUAGUGUAAAUUAUUAUUAUUUUCGUAGCUAGCAAAGAACCAGAAGCAUCGGCACGGAAGGGAAAAGAGAAGAUUAUCGAGGAGUAAACCCGAGAAAAUCAUGGUUUGUAUUACUAUAAUUCAAAUCACUUUUUAUUAAAUGUUUUAUAUAAAUUUUAUAUUUAAUAAAUGAGUAUAAGGUAAGUAUUAAUAUGAGUUGAAUGGGAAUUGAUUGGAUGGUGAAUGUGUAUGUAUAAUUGAAUUGUAUAUUGAUUUGAAUGUGAAAUUGAAUAUUGACUUGAAAAAAAAAUGGAAAGGUGAAUUUUGAAUUGAAUUGUGAUUAAAAUUGAAAAAGUGGAAUUGAAUUGAAAUGUGAAUUUGGAGACCCUAUUAACUAGUCGGGCUGAGUCAGACAUAGUUGGUAUGCUAUAGGAUUGGAAGAGUUCAGGGAUACUUCGACCUCAAGUCGAUGAGACACUGGGUGUUAUUAUAUUUCUUUGGAUAGAUUCGAUGAGGUACUGGGUACCAACUUUAUUCGGCUUUGCCGAUGGGACACUGGGUGUUAACUAUUGCUUCGAACUAUCCGAUGAGGCACUGGGUACCAUGCCCAUACUGGAGUGUUUGGUUGGAUCCGUGUAUCUGCCAAAGUUCGAGUUUUGUUAAUAGGGUAAAUAAUGAAAUGAUAAACUGAAUGAGUUGAUCAAUCGAGCUAUUGAGAUGAAAUGAAAAGUUGAAUGGUGAAUUGAAAUGUGAUAUGAGAUUGAGAAAUGAAUCUGAAGUUCGAAAUGUGUCCAAUUUCCAAAUUAUGGAUAUAUGAUAUUAAUUGAUGAAUUAUUGAUGUUGAAACAUGAAAUUUGAGUUUAAAUUUGUAUGUAUGAUUUUAUACAUUACAUGCUUAUUAAUAUUAUAAUUUGAAUUAUGGUAAUACCACUGAGUAUGAAAUACUCAGCGUACAGUUAUUUCCGUGCGCAGGUCAUUAGAGUUUAAGGUCCAGUUCAGCAUCCAGAAAGAUCCCAACUCCAUCAAGAAAACUUUGGUGAUGUAUUUCUUCCUUUUGUUUAAGUGGCAUGUACUAGGUGAUUGUACACGAGUCAUAUAUAUAUAAAUAUAUAUAUGCUAAAUGAUCUUGGUUGUAAGUAAAUGGUUAUAAUCUUUAGAAUGAUAAAUAAAGUAGCGUUUUAAAAUAUAAAAUUAUUGAUUGAAAUAUUGGUGUUGGGUUUUUUUUGUUUUAAGUUUUUAGGGGGUUUUAUGUAAAAAUAAGCAGAAAUAUUGUCGAAAUUUUUUAAAAAAUGAAGCCAAUUAGUAUAAAUUUAUAUGAAUUUAUGAUUCUUUUAUAUAUAUUAGUGAUAUAUUAAGAAUUAUUUGUGAAUUGUUCGAGAUGUCCAAUAAUGCCUCGUAAUCCUGUUCCGACGAUGAUUUAGGGUUAGAGAAUAUUACAAUUUUUCUCACCCAUCAAGGCAUAUACCUACAAAAAAAAAUGCAAAUAUAUACAAGCCAUAACAAUGCACCAAAAUCAUGCAUAUUCUAGCGUCAUACUCAUUUAGCUUCGUACAUAUGCAAAUUUGUAAAAAAAGUACAAAAACUCGUAGCUAUAAUUUACGAAAUAACUUCGUAGACAUGUACAAGUUAGGACUGAAUUUUUUUUUCCUUUUAAAGAAAUCAGAACUGAAUUAUUAUUUAAUAAUAAUCUUUUAAAAAAGAUGAUUAUAAUAUAUCUACGGGGUAAGUAGAAAACAAGAAUAUUUGAUUAUUCGUUGAUUAGAAGUUAUACAUACUCCGUUUAAUAAUUACAAUAGGAAAAACAGAGUUGGCAUGCGUAAUUGCCUUCGUGUCAGCGUCUCUAAUUUCUUAGAGGUAAUGAUUACAAAAUAUAAUAAAAUAUUUUCAGUAUGGACAAACAUGAUGAAGAAAAAAAGGCGUUUGUUGUGCAAUUGUUAAUGGUAGGCGUUAUAAUUAGAUCGGUUUUUUGUCUCUCAGAUCACAUUGUGCAAGCAAAAAAAGAAAGAUGAGCAAAUCAGGCCACUCAAAGCUUCACAUCGCCAUGUUUCCAUGGGUUGCCUAUGGUCAUUUCAUCCCCUUCCUUCAUCUCUCUAAUAAGCUGGCUCAUAAAGGCCACCAAAUUUCCUUCCUUGUUCCCAAAGGAGUUCAACCAAAGCUUGAAAACCUGAACCAAUACCCCAACUUGAUUCGGUUCUUUCCUCUACAUAUACCCCAUGUCGAUGGCCUCCCUCCAGGUGCUGAAACUACAUCUGUUGUUCCUAUGAACCAGCAAAAAUACCUUGCUUUUGCUGUAGACCAAACCAGGGACCAAGUUGAAGGAAUCUUAAAGGUUAUAAAACCUGAUAUGGUUUUUUAUGAUUUCUGGUUUUGGAUCCCUGACUUGGCUCGCCAGCUUGGGAUCCUCCCCAUAUUCUAUGUAGUGGUUUCCUCAAUGUCGAUGGGGUUAAACACCAAGGCACUAACCAAAGAAAUGACUGUAGAAGAGGUGAUGGAAUUGCCUCCUGGUUACCCUCUUUCCACAGUGAAACUCAAACCUGAAGAGGCUGCUGCAAUGUUGUUUGAGGCUGAGGAUUUCGGAAGUGGACUGUCGUUUCGGGAACGGAUAAGGACUGCUGUGAAAGGAAGUGAUGCCAUUGCCUUCAGGACUUGCAGUGAAAUCGAGGAACCAUUUUGUGACUUUGUCGCUGAAGAAUUUGGGAAGCCUGUUUUGUUGUCAGGGCCUUGUUUGCCUGAAACGAAUACCCAACAGCUUGAUGAGGAAUGGGUUAGUUGGUUGAGCCAGUUCCAGCCAGGGUCUGUUGUGUUUUGCUCAUUUGGAAGCCAGAGUGUGUUGCAGAAGGAUGAGUUCCAGGAGUUGGUGCUUGGGUUUGAGCUAUGUGGGCUACCAUUUUUGGUAGCUUUAAAGCCACCCCAAGGAUUCUCGACUGUUGAAGAAGCACUGCCGGAGGGGUUUCAAGAUAGGGUUGGAGG